rnacentral:lncRNA from 1 species
AUUUAAAAAAUUCUUACAGCUAUAUGAGGGGACCUUUAUAUGAGUCGUUUACUAUCACUUUCUCUACACAGAGCUUUAUACCAUAUAUAGAGAGAAACUCCUCAAUUUUAUCAAUAAAUUUCUGUUUAUUCGCUCUUGCUGCAGAUAAAAAAUGGAGGUCUAUUAGAAUCUCGCAACCACCUGUUCUUUUCAUGCCGCUUUACCAAGGAAAUCUGGUCACAGCUGGUGAAUAAGCUUCUUGGACAUCACUUCACGACGGACUGGGAUAUGAUCAUUUCUCUGCUCUCCGGAUCUAAUUUGUAGACUACUCCUCUGUUCCUGCUGCGAUAUACUCCAUUGAAAAUUUUAGUCUGCAAUCUUUUGGCGUAUGAUUUGUCUUCUUGAUUGUUUAUUGUUUAGUUCUCAAUUAUGAUUUUUUACAAAGAGAAUAAAACAACUUAAGACCGUUUCUUGGUUCUAAGAAAUCAAGGAUUACAAGAUAGACAACUAUCUUCCAUUCGCAGUGAAACCAUUUAUUGAUUUCUGAAGCCAAAUAUACAGACGCAUGAGAGACGAAAGAGAACAUUUACAUCCGAAUCCAAUAGAGAAAUGGGAAGAAAAGCUUCAUGACGGUUCAAAUCAAAACUUAUGAAUUGCAAAUUAUUUAUUUUUUUCUCACUAAGAACCAAAUCAAAGUUCGAUUUAAACAAUUUUCCUUAGAUCUCUUGUGUAUCAAUAAAUAAUACAUAGAUUAUGAUCGAAUAAUAGAACAAGGAAACUGAAAAAAAAACUAUAAAAAAAAUUGUUUAAAAUAAAAGUUUUCAUAAAUAAAUCCGCGGAUCCCGCGGUACUCACCUAGUAUACUUUAAUUGGUCUAGUAGUUAUCCGCAUCCAGCCUUGCUGAGUUCGUAAUGCAAUUGGGUUAAAAGCUAUUUUGUGAGAUUAUUCCAAAA